UACAGAGGGGGCGAGCGUUGUUCGGAAUUACUGGGCGUAAAGGGCGCGUAGGCGGCCAACUAAGUCAGACGUGAAAUCCCUCGGCUCAACCGGGGAACUGCGUCUGAUACUGGAUGGCUUGAAUUCGGGAGAGGGAUGCGGAAUUCCAGGUGUAGCGGUGAAAUGCGUAGAUAUCUGGAGGAACACCGGUGGCGAAGGCGGGUCUCUGGACAGUUCCUGACGCUGAGGCACGAAGGUCAGGGGAGCAAACGGG
rnacentral:rRNA from 1 species